AACGAACGCUGGCGGCAGGCUUAACACAUGCAAGUCGAACGAGGUAGCAAUACCUAGUGGCAGACGGGUGAGUAACGCGUGGUCAACCUACCGUUGAGUGGGGGAUAACUAGCCGAAAGGUUAACUAAUACCGCAUACGAGGCCGAGGGGCAUCCCUUGGUCUUAAAAGGAGCAAUCCGCUCGAUGACGGGACCGCGUCCCAUUAGCUAGAUGGUGGGUAACGCCUACCAUGGCACCGAUGGGUAGCUGGUUUGAGAGAGCGACCAGCCACACUGGGACUGAGAAACGGCCCAGACUCCUACGGGAGGCAGCAGUGAGGAAUUUUCCGCAAUGGGCGAAAGCCUGACGGAGCGACGCCGCGUGUGGGAAGAAGGCCUUC
rnacentral:rRNA from 1 species